rnacentral:rRNA from 1 species
GACGAACGCUGGCGGCGUGCUUAACACAUGCAAGUCGAACGGUAAGGCCCUUCGGGGUACACGAGUGGCGAACGGGUGAGUAACACGUGAGCAACCUGCCCAUGACUCUGGGAUAAGCGAUGGAAACAACGUCUAAUACCGGAUACGACCUUGGCGGACAUCCGCACGAGGUGGAAAGCUCCGGCGGUCAUGGAUGGGCUCGCGGCCUAUCAGCUUGUUGGUGAGGUAAUGGCUCACCAAGGCGUCGACGGGUAGCCGGCCUGAGAGGGCGACCGGCCACACUGGGACUGAGAUACGGCCCAGACUCCUACGGGAGGCAGCAGUGGGGAAUAUUGCACAAUGGGCGAAAGCCUGAUGCAGCAACGCCGCGUGAGGGAUGACGGCCUUCGGGUUGUAAACCUCUUUUAGUAGGGAAGAAGCGAAAGUGACGGUACCUGCAGAAAAAGCACCGGCUAACUACGUGCCAGCAGCCGCAGUAAGAC